rnacentral:lncRNA from 1 species
AUUUUAUCAUAUUUAAAAUAAAAACCAUUUUCUUAAAAAAAAAGAACUGAGGAGAGUUUGUGGCUAAUAUGGAGAUUUUUAGUAGGAUGUUGCCUCCCCGUGAUUAAUUUUCAGCCUUGUACUUUUGGUGCUAGUGUUUACUCCUGUUAUUUACUUCAAGUAAUUUUGACUCUGUCCCUGUGUUUUGCUGAAAGAAUUGCUUGUGGCUACAACAGCAUGCGCAGAUUCGAUCUUACAGCCUAAUGGUCCUUGCAGUUACACUUCCCCCUUGGUCUGUUCUCUGUGCACACUGCAGCAGGCUGUUGUUUUCCAGACUACACAGCUUGUCUUGGAGAGUGCUGGCGCUCACUGCUCCGCCAUUUCAGCUUCCUCACGUUCGUCGCUGCAUUAUUUAUAGAUAGAACUUUGAAGAAAAUAUUUGAAUAUGUCACGUAUGCAUUGAACAAGUACUGUUAACAGUGAACUUUGCUCUUACAGACUUGAUCAUGAGUUCCAUGAGUUUUUGCCAGAAGUCAAAGAGAAAUACCUUGAUUUGUCCCACCACGUGGAAAUGUAAAGACUUAUCAAAAUUUGGAGUUUUAGGGGCCAGGGAUUUAGCUCAGUGGUUCUCGCACCUGCCUCACAAGCACAAGGUCCUGAGUUCAAUCCCCGGUACUCAAAGAAAAAUUUUGAAGUUUUAGUACGAUACUUUGAACUCAGGGCCAAGAUUUAAUUUUUUUC